UAAUGAUUUGUAAAUAUCUGCUGUCAAUGUUUGUUACCGGGAAUACCCUAAUAACCUUCAUCAAUUUGACGACGAAGCAAUAGUAUUCCACUUGAAUGGUAACUCAUAACCAAUACACUUAGGUAUUGAAAAUCAAUGAAAAAUCAAUCGAUGUUUUUGUUUACAACGCGAUUAAGACGUAGGUUCGCGAGUCCUCGUUCUUCGAUCGACGUUUUAUUCCGCGAAAUUCGCGACGUUUCCGGCGGGGAAAUAAGUUUUCGUGGAUGAAUAAUCUCGAUUCGACUGAGCGAUGAGGAAAAUUAUCUACGACAACUUUGUUGUUUCCUGCCAGGAUGUGGUGUCAUUGUUCCUCAAUGAAUGUAGGUGAUCCGGACCGAUAUUUUUCAAUGGUUUGGACUAUUCAAUUGUCCCAUGUAAUGAAUACUGCAAUGGGAUAUAUGGAUUCGCCAGCUCGUCGAUUGAGCUGGUCCCGAUCUUGCAUGUAAUAGUGCUCGUGUAUAUCGCAUCCGGCAUGGUGCGCAACGAGACUUUAUUGAACUUUUCGGCAAAGUUGCCAUUCUAAUACCCUCGGGUUCCUUUGGAAGACCUGAGCAGAUGAUUGAUUUUAAUAACCUCAGGCCUUUCUUGGAAUCCCGAGAAAAUGAAUUUUAUGAUUUCUGUACUUUAACGGUAGUACUCUGAAGCACCGAAUAAUAAAGAUUCUGGGGUUUGAGGGGUUGGGAUUUUUCGAAAGAAUG